UACGAAGGGGGCUAGCGUUGUUCGGAAUUACUGGGCGUAAAGGGCGCGUAGGCGGCGUGUCAAGUCAGGCGUGAAAGGCCUGGGCUCAACCCGGGAAUUGCGCUUGAGACUGGGCUGGCUUGAGUGCGGGAGAGGAUGGUGGAAUUCCCAGUGUAGAGGUGAAAUUCGUAGAUAUUGGGAAGAACACCGGUGGCGAAGGCGGCCAUCUGGACCGCAACUGACGCUGAGGCGCGAAAGCGUGGGGAGCAUACAGG
rnacentral:rRNA from 1 species